GUUUGCCAAGCAGCCGCGCGCCUUCGGGCGUGAGGAAAGUCCGGGCUUCACAGAGCAGGAUAACUGAUAACGUCAGCCGGGAGCGAUCCCAGGACAAGUGCAACAGAGAUAUACCGCCCCGCUCUGCGGGGUAAGGGUGGAAAGGCGAGGUAAGAGCUCACCGGUGGCCAUGGCAACAUGGCUUCCCUGUAAACUCUAUCCGAAGCAACACCGACGCGGGGGCUACGGCUUGCUCGGCCAAUCUCCGGAAAGGUGGCUUGAGGUGUGCGGCGACGCACAUCCCAGAUAGAUGGCUGCAUAGACAGAACCCGGCUUACAGGCGGACUCU
rnacentral:RNase_P_RNA from 1 species